rnacentral:rRNA from 1 species
CCUACGGGAGGCAGCAGUGAGGAAUAUUGGUCAAUGGCCGGAAGCCUGAACCAGCCAAGCCGCGUGAAGGACGAAGGUGCCAAGCAUUGUAAACUUCUUUUGUCAAGGGACAAAAUCAGGCUCGAGCGCCUGACCGAGGGUACUCUAAGAACAAGCAUCGGCUAACUCCGUGCCAGCAGCCGCGGUAAUACGGAGGAUGCGAGCGUUAUCCGGAUUUAUUGGGUUUAAAGGGUGCGUAGGCGGACUGUUAAGUCAGCGGUAAAAGCCCGGGGCUCAACCCCGGCGAGCCGUUGAAACUGGCUGUCUUGAGAUGUCGAGAGGUAUGCGGAAUGCGCAGUGUAGCGGUGAAAUGCUUAGAUAUUGCGCAGAACUCCGAUUGCGAAGGCAGCAUACCGGAGGGGAUCUGACGCUGAGGCACGAAAGCGUGGGUAUCGAACAGGAUUAGAUACCCUUGUAGUC